rnacentral:rRNA from 1 species
UACGAAGGGGGCUAGCGUUGCUCGGAAUUACUGGGCGUAAAGGGCUCGUAGGCGGCCAACUAAGUCAGACGUGAAAUCCCUCGGCUUAACCGGGGAACUGCAUCUGAUACUGGAUGGCUUGAGAUUGGGAGAGGGAUGCGGAAUUCCAGGUGUAGCGGUGAAAUGCGUAGAUAUCUGGAGGAACACCGAUGGCGAAGGCAGGUCUCUGGGCAUUAACUGACGCUGAGGAGCGAAAGCAUGGGGAGCGAACAGG